CUACGGGGUGCUGCAGUGAGGAAUAUUGCGCAAUGGGCGACAGCCUGACGCAGCGACGCCGCGUGGGGGACGAAGGUCUUCGGAUUGUAAACCCCUUUCGGGUGGGAAGAUGGGCUGGCGUAAGCCAGCCGGACGGUACCACCAGAAGCAGCCACGGCUAACUUCGUGCCAGCAGCCGCGGUAAUACGAAGGUGGCAAGCGUUGUUCGGAUUUGCUGGGCGUACAGGGUGCGUAGGCGGUUCGGUAAGCCCUUCGGAAAAUCUCCCGGCUUAACCGGGAACGCGCGGAGGGGACUGCCGGGCUAGAGGACGGGAGAGGAGCGCGGAAUUCCCGGUGUAGCGGUGAAAUGCGUAGAGAUCGGGAGGAAGGCCGGUGGCGAAGGCGGCGCUCUGGAACGUUUCUGACGCUGAGGCACGAAAGCGUGGGGAGCAAACAGGAUUAGAUACCCCGGUAGUC
rnacentral:rRNA from 1 species